AUGAACGCUGGCGGCGUGCCUAAUACAUGCAAGUCGAGCGAACAGACGAGGAGCUUGCUCCUCUGACGUUAGCGGCGGACGGGUGAGUAACACGUGGAUAACCUACCUAUAAGACUGGGAUAACUUCGGGAAACCGGAGCUAAUACCGGAUAAUAUAUUGAACCGCAUGGUUCAAUAGUGAAAGACGGUUUUGCUGUCACUUAUAGAUGGAUCCGCGCCGCAUUAGCUAGUUGGUAAGGUAACGGCUUACCAAGGCAACGAUGCGUAGCCGACCUGAGAGGGUGAUCGGCCACACUGGAACUGAGACACGGUCCAGACUCCUACGGGAGGCAGCAGUAGGGAAUCUUCCGCAAUGGGCGAAAGCUUGACGGAGCAACGCCGCGUGAGUGAUGAAGGUCUUCGGAUCGUAAAACUCUGUCAUUAGGGAAGAACAAAUGUGUAAGUAACUAUGCACGUCUUGACGGUACCUAAUCAGAAAGCCACGGCUAACUACGUG
rnacentral:rRNA from 1 species